rnacentral:rRNA from 1 species
UCCUACGGGAGGCAGCAGUGGGGAAUUUUGGACAAUGGGCGAAAGCCUGAUCCAGCCAUGCCGCGUGAGUGAAGAAGGCCUUCGGGUUGUAAAGCUCUUUUAGUCGGAAAGAAAGAAUUGCGAUGAAUAAUCAUGAUUUAUGACGGUACCGACGAGGAAAAAGCACCGGCUAACUACGUGCCAGCAGCCGCGGUAAU